rnacentral:rRNA from 1 species
UGCAGUCGAACGGUAGCACAGAGAGCUUGCUCUCGGGUGACGAGUGGCGGACGGGUGAGUAAUGUCUGGGAAACUGCCUGAUGGAGGGGGAUAACUACUGGAAACGGUAGCUAAUACCGCAUAACGUCGCAAGACCAAAGAGGGGGACCUUCGGGCCUCUUGCCAUCAGAUGUGCCCAGAUGGGAUUAGCUAGUAGGUGGGGUAACGGCUCACCUAGGCGACGAUCCCUAGCUGGUCUGAGAGGAUGACCAGCCACACUGGAACUGAGACACGGUCCAGACUCCUACGGGAGGCAGCAGUGGGGAAUAUUGCACAAUGGGCGCAAGCCUGAUGCAGCCAUGCCGCGUGUAUGAAGAAGGCCUUCGGGUUGUAAAGUACUUUCAGCGGGGAGGAAGGUGUUGUGGUUAAUAACCGCAGCAAUUGACGUUACCCGCAGAAGAAGCACCGGCUAACUCCGUGCCAGCAGCCGCGGUAAUACGGAGGGUGCAAGCGUUAAUCGGAAUUACUGGGCGUAAAGCGCACGCAGGCGGUCUGUCAAGUCGGAUGUGAAAUCCCCGGGCUCAACCUGGGAACUGCAUUCGAAACUGGCAGGCUAGAGUCUUGUAGAGGGGGGUAGAAUUCCAGGUGUAGCGGUGAAAUGCGUAGAGAUCUGGAGGAAUACCGGUGGCGAAGGCGGCCCCCUGGACAAAGACUGACGCUCAGGUGCGA